ACUCACCGUUGAUUACCUAGGACUUCGCGUCAUUUUUUGAACUACACUGUCAGGUGCGUCAAUAAUACUUUGGACUCAGGAUAGAAUUCACCGUACUUCUGCUUUCAUCUUCACUCUCGGAGCUCAUACCAAUAUGAUGCGGACACGGAUCAUGAUCCUCAUUGCUGCUAUGAUUGUGUGCAGUGAUAUAUGGUGCUCCAAUGCUACUCCAGUUACGAAGUCCGGAACUCUUGUUGUGACGCAAACUGACGCAGCAACCUAUGAUGAAGGCGGAUUUUUAAAGCGAGAAUACUCAUACAUUUCCUCUCUUUGGGAGAACUGGUGGUGGCCUCAAUUUUACAUCUUCUGAGGGAAACCAGAACUGCCCAAAGUCAUCACAUAUUACUGAACAUGGAGCCUUGCAGUUGAUCGCAAAUUUUGUCAAUAGUCAAAACCUGAUUUGUAUCAAUAAAUAUCGAGAACUGAACGAAUAAAGGAGUAGAAUUAAG